AUUGAACGCUGGCGGCAUGCCUAACACAUGCAAGUCGAACGGCAGCACGGUCUAGUUUACUAGAUGGGUGGCGAGUGGCGGACGGGUGAGUAAUGCGCAGGAAUAUGCCUUAAAGAGGGGGAUAACUUGGGGAAACUCAAGCAAAUACCGCAUAAUCUCUAUGGAGAAAAGCUGGGGACCUUCGGGCCUGGCGCUUUAAGAUUAGCCUGCGUCCGAUUAGCUAGUUGGUAGGGUAAAGGCCUACCAAGGCGACGAUCGGUAGCUGGUCUGAGAGGAUGACCAGCCACACUGGAACUGAGACACGGUCCAGACUCCUACGGGAGGCAGCAGUGGGGAAUAUUGGACAAUGGGGGCAACCCUGAUCCAGCAAUGCCGCGUGUGUGAAGAAGGCCUGAGGGUUGUAAAGCACUUUCAGUGGGGAGGAGGAUUGCUAGGUUAAGAGCUAGGUAAUUGGACGUUACCCACAGAAGAAGCACCGGCUAACUCCGUGCCAGCAGCCGCGGUAA
rnacentral:rRNA from 1 species